CUCCUUUCUCUCGUCCUCCUCCGGUCUGCGGCGUCGGCCGUUUUCCUCCGAUCUACAUCGUCAGGAAGUGCCGAGCAGCCGCUCCAAGAGCUGGCUGUUGACCGUGCCUGAGCAGGCGCCGCCGGUAGCUACGGUCAUGCAUUGGGUGCCAAGGCCAAGCCACGCAUCCGACCGGCCGCCACACUCAGCUGCCGUGUUAUUUUAUUGUACUGUUGUUUAUCUUGUGCUUGAGUCAGAUUAUUGUAGCUCACACACUUGUUCGUUGCAUGGAUGGAUGGAUUCGAUUCGUUGAUGGUCAAACAAAUUUUUUUAGUCUGAUUAGUUAAUGACACCCCCGCAAAAAAAAAAAAGUUGAUGCUAACACCCUUGUUUUGAGAUCCAAUUCAAUGUUUAGCUUUGUUACAUAGAUGGAUUGAUGAUCACUUGCAAUCCGUUCCAUCUUAUCUAUCAAAAGAAACACCAAAAUAUAACCAUUACGUACAUAUUUUCGAAUUAUCCAUACGAAACACAAAAAUGAGACUGAUCCAUUACAGUGGAAUGGAACCAUGACAUUUUAGUACACUUGGUUCGUUCUGAAACAAAACACAUCCUAAGAUAUCUAGGUGACACUACGUACGCAUGCUGUACUGGGAAAUUUUAACUUUCCACAGCGGGCAAAGACAGCUGGUUCUGCAAACAUAUCGACCGCUCCCUUGAAUGCUCGACAAUUGCUGCAGAGCGUGCAUGCUGCGCCUAUGCACGUAACUGAGGCUGAGGUCGAUGGAGCAAAAGUUUUUGGCGCAUCAGCGAACACGUGACACUCAAUGAGGUUGGCCCGUGCAGUACCGGGUGGGUGAUUUACUA
rnacentral:lncRNA from 1 species